rnacentral:rRNA from 1 species
GACGAACGCUGGCGGCGUGCUUAACACAUGCAAGUCGAACGGAAAGGCCCUGCUUUUGUGGGGUGCUCGAGUGGCGAACGGGUGAGUAACACGUGAGUAACCUGCCCUUGACUUUGGGAUAACUUCAGGAAACUGGGGCUAAUACCGGAUAGGAGCUCCUGCUGCAUGGUGGGGGUUGGAUAGUUUCGGCGGUUGGGGAUGGACUCGCGGCUGAUCAGCUUGUUGGUGGGGUAGUGGCUUACCAAGGCUUUGACGGGUAGCCGGCCUGAGAGGGUGACCGGCAACAUUGGGACUGAGAUACGGCCCAGACUCCUACGGGAGGCAGCGGUGGGGAAUAUUGCACAAUGGGCGGGAGCCUGAUGCAGCACCGCCGCGUGCGGGAUGACGGCCUUCGGGUUGUAAACCGCUUUCGCCUGUGACGAAGCGUGAGUGACGGUAAUGGGUAAAGAAGCACCGGCUAACUACGUG